AAGAUCAUACUUCACAGAAUCAUUCCUAUAGUAUAUCUUCACAGACUCUCUACCUCAAGUAGGAGUCGAUGUCAAAAGAUU